UACGAAGGGGGCUAGCGUUGUUCGGAAUUACUGGGCGUAAAGCGCGCGCAGGCGGUCCUUUAAGUCAGGGGUGAAAGCCCAGAGCUCAACUCUGGAACUGUCUUUGAAACUAGAGGACUUGGGUACGGGAGAGGUGAGUGGAAUUCCGAGUGUAGAGGUGAAAUUCGUAGAUAUUCGGAAGAACACCAGUGGCGAAGGCGGCUCACUGGCCCGUUACCGACGCUCAGGCGCGACAGCGUGGGGAGCAAACAGG
rnacentral:rRNA from 1 species